rnacentral:rRNA from 1 species
AUGGAGCACGCAACGGAUGCCCAAUCGGGUACUAGUGGCGGCGCCACUAGGAAGUAUGAUCUGGGCGAGUUUUUUGAGCAACUCAACCUAGAGGACAAGAUCUUUGAAGAUCUAGUAAUUGAUGAAGAUGAUCCGGAGAUUAACGAUAGUGUUAGAUGGCUAGCCCUAGCUAGGGUUCAUACAGAUAAAUCUUUUAGUUAAGCAGCCUUCUACAAGGAUAUGCGAGCGGCGUGGAACACAAUGCAACCAGUUAGGUUUCGACCGGUUGGCCACAAUGUUUUCGUUGUUCAAGCGUCCUGCCUUGGAGACUGGGAACGCAUGGUGGAUCAUGGUCCUUUGCUGUUCAGGAAUAAUUGGUUGGUUCUAAUGUGCCCGUACGAUCGGUUUACGAAGGUGAAUGAGGUGCCUAUGAUGUAUAUGCCAAUCUGGCUCCAAAUUCAUAAGCUGCCGGAUGGCUUUUGUAAGAGAGGAAUUGUUGAACAAUUACUCAAGAACUCGGGUAAGAUCCUAGAGAUGGGGCUAAGCAGAAACACUCGGGGUGACUAUGUCAGGAUUAGGUUUCGUCACGAUGUUCGUCAGCCCCUAACCAAGUUUGUCAGUAUUGUUAGAGGUGAAAAACGUCAGGUGUUCUUGGUCCGAUAUGAGAAACUGGCAAGAUUUUACAGUGUGUGCGGCCUUAUCACUACAAAAAAAGACACAUCUGUGACAAUUUGGGCCAAAUGA